AGCAGCCGCGGUAAUUCCAGCUCCAAUAGCGUAUAUUAAAGUUGUUGCAGUUAAAAAGCUCGUAGUUGAACUUCAGGCCUGGCUGGACGGUCCGCCUUCCGGGCGAGUACUGUCUGUGGUCGGGUCCUACCUUCUGGCGAAGCGUCAUGGCCUUAACCGGCCGUGGCGGGGAACCAGGACUUUUACUGUGAAAAAUUAGAGUGUUCAAAGCAGGCAAUUCGCUUGGAUACAUUAGCAUGGAAUAAUGGAAUAGGACAAUGGUUCUAUUUGUUGGUUUCUAGGACUGUUGUAAUGAUUAAUAGGGAUAGUUGGGGGCAUUAGUAUUCAAUUGUCAGAGGUGAAAUUCUUGGAUUUAUUGAAGACUAACUACUGCGAAAGCAUUUGCCAAGGAUGUUUUCAUUAAUCAAGAACGAAAGUUAGGGGAUCGAAGACGAUCAGAUACCGUCGUAGUCUUAACCAUAAACUAUGCCGACU
rnacentral:rRNA from 1 species